UACGGGGGGGGCAAGCGUUGUUCGGAAUUACUGGGCGUAAAGGGCGUGUAGGCGGCCAACUAAGUCCGACGUGAAAUCCCCAGGCUUAACCUGGGAACUGCGUCGGAUACUGGAUGGCUUGAAUCCGGGAGAGGGAUGCGGAAUUCCAGGUGUAGCGGUGAAAUGCGUAGAUAUCGGGAGGAACAUCUGUGGCGAAGGCGGCCAUCUGGACCAGCACUGACACUGAGGCACGAAAGCGUGGGGAGCAAACAGG
rnacentral:rRNA from 1 species